rnacentral:lncRNA from 1 species
AAGAGAGCUUCUUACGGAUGGAGUUCAAGCAAAACAUUCUAGGAGAUUUCUUACCUUAUUAAGGUAUAAGAUCUCUAAUUCAUUUAAGAGAGAUUGAUGCAAACUUUCCGUGGUAACGUGAUUAGCACAACAAAUGACUUUCUUAUCUCCUUAAGAUUAGAAGAUGCAAGAUUCACGUUUCAGAAAGAUUGCCUACGUGAUUUGCUACAAUCAAAUCCCAUACAAGACUAUUUAAUACUUAGUAACGUGAGAUUUUACAAUUUUAAGAGAGUACGGUGCAAUCCUUCUCAAGAAUAUCAUACGGAUUUUUCUUACUCCAGGUAUGUUAAGGCUAUCCCUUCUUUCUUUUUGGCAUGAUCCAAAUAAUAUAAAUGGAAUGAGCAAAAUAUGCAACUUUCAUAAAUGACUCUAUUCAUAGAAAUACUAGGGGUGUCUAUAUACGUAUUUGAUAAAGUUUAUCUGACAUGCAUAUUAUUUUUAUGACAAAAGAAAUCUNNNNNNNNNNNNNNNNNNNNNNNNNNNNNNNNNNAUAUAUAUAUGAAAAAGGAAAAAAGGAAUUACCCAAGAGGGAUUACGCAGAAUACAUAUAUAAAAAUGGACCAAUAAGUAGUUAGUAGUUGAUUCAGGAAGAGUCUAGUUAUGGCUAGACAAGAAGUUAGAGACAAAUCAACAUAUCGUGCAAGAUAAACAUAGUGAACCCCAACAUGGGAAUUCAGUCUCGCAGAUACGACAUUGUGACCCUUGAGAAAUAUUCAGAUAAGAGUUGGGGUAGUUAAAGGUACCGUAUGAAUGUUAUGGAAAUAAAAGAUAGUCUCACUGGGAAGAUAGUCAAAAUAUCAGUUCAGAAGCAACCCUACAAGCACAAGAACGUGGAGGUAAGUAACUACGGAUAAUUAUAGGCGGGGAAGAACAUAAAAAAUUCCUUAAAGUAUACGAUGUGAUAGGCUUGUAACUUUACAAGAGCCAGAAGGUCUCCCUAAAUACUACAACGAAAGACUAGCUGAGAAAAUAAGGAAGAAGGCUUCAACCUAAGCACAGUGACCAAAAGAGGAAAUGGUCUUGUAACAACAGUCUCACAAUAACAUUGUAUGCACUCGAUAAGAAAGUGGCACCUAGCGUGACUAAUGAGCAGGAAAUGGAACCAAAAGUAAUAUUAGAGACCAUAUGAAUUGCACAAAAUUUUGACAUGCAUGGGAACUAAGAUAAGCUAAGUAUGCACGCAACAAGGGGGCAGAAAGACCAGAAAAUGUAAUAGCUUACGUUUAAAGAAAGCUGAGAAGGAACGAAAAGAAUUAUUCGAUUAAUGAUCCAGAGUUAGUUACAUUAUGAACAUACUCAAGAUUUCAGAGUAUUAUCCAUGCAGCAUGUAUGUUGACAAUCAUACAACUGUAGAAGACUCUGGUAUAAGUUAAAAGAAAGAAUUGAGUUUAGGUCAUAUACAAGGGAUUGAAUUGUUAGAUGAUGGUAUUACGAAUAUUCCAUAGCGUCUAUGAAAGGCUAAAGUAAUAACUCAUACCAUGAGCCGCAGAUCGGAAGAUAGCUUAAGCCUACAUAAAAGUUGAUCAGAGGGAAGAGAAAACUAAAGAGUUACACCAACUAAAGUAAAUUAGGAGUCUGAUUAUUGGACCCAGAAAAUUAUAGACCUCGUAAUUGAGAACAUUGCAGGAUCACUCUUAAAUAUCAGAGGAACAAGAGAGAUAGUACAGUAGCCAUAUUCUAUAAUGGCUCUACGAUAAAGCCAGCAAGAAGAAGUACCAGCCUUAUAAGAAGUCAGUAUGAAGCUCCUACCGGAUUGUGUAUGCACCAGAGGUACAAAUAUUAUAAUAGAGCUUCACAUUGUGGAUGUGAAUUGUACCUAUGUGGAAGGAAGGUUAUGAAAGAGAUAGAAGAAUGUGAGGCAAUAUUUUAAGAUAAGUAAGGUAAAGGUGGACAACGUACGAGAUUCUCAAAUACAGAAGGUUGUGAAUAGUCCUUACUUCAGAUAGAAGGCUAGAAGUGCGGGUAUUCAAUAUCCAGGAAUGAUACCGGCGUCAUAAGUGACAUAUCUUCCAGCCUAUGGUUUCUAGGUACCGAGAGGUCUAGUUAAGAGAGUAAAGAAGAGUUAGAGAUGAUGUGAUUUCUCGCUUGAUGUUUCAGGAUGACAUAAGGAAACCUAUGAUGCAAGCAAGUUGAAGGAAGGUUGCGAGUAGUAUAAAUAGAUAUGUGUAGGUCGCAAGAUAAAGUAUGGUAAAGCAACAAGGUUUUAGGAAGAUAUGAGUAAGGAUAAGAAAGGGCGAGGGAGGAGGUGACGAGAAUGGAUAAGUCCUUAGGAUUAAGCCCAUGAAAACAAGAGAGCUGAUGAUUUCUCUAAGUUAUAGAAAGCUCAGUAUAGCCUGAAUGAACUCAAAAGAGUCAAGAAUAAUAGCAUCUAGAAGAGAUGGAAUGCUGCCCUGGUAGUAGAAUGAGGGUGUAAUUGUGAUAGAUAAAGGAUGACGUUUGAGCCUUCGAUUGAGUAAUGAUUUGAAGAGGAUUUCAUGAAUUGUACGAGAUAAAAAUACCCACAUAAGUGAAUCAUAUUAGGAUGCUAUAAAAUACGGUUAUUGAAGUACAGUAUCGCCGCUAAGUGGAUUAGGAAAAUCACUUCAAAUAUUCUUCGAUGCACGUAAGCCCUAGUGGCAAGGUAUUACAUAAAGAGUUUCAAGUUAUCAGUGGUAUAUUAUAGAUCAAUAUUGAGGUGAAUCAACAAUGGAUGGACAAAAUUCACAAAGUAUGAAAUGAAAUUAGGCCAUCAUUCUUAAGAUGAACAGUAAUAAGGAAGCGUUAAAAGAUAUAGCUUUAUGCAUAUAGGAUAUGCAACGAAAGUAACCUGGAGUUUGGUAGCAGACCUCAGUAACGAUAAAUCGAAGUAGAGUUAUGGUAUAGUAUGACCUACCUAGAUGCAGUAAAGUCAUACGGAUGGAUAAACGGAGCUAUGGAAUAAGGUAUAAUAAUAUUCGUAAGUUCAACAAAGUAUCGAGCAAAGAAGUUCAGUAUACCCAUAGACGCCCAGAGGGACAACUUGACAUAAUUCUGUAUAUGUUUACAAAGUGAAGCCUAGAUAUUGGCUAAAAGCCAGAGGAAAAGGAGAGAAGAGUCGCAUAAGUACACUUACAAGGUCAGAGUCGUACAAGCUGCAUGAUAGAAGGUAACAACAGUUACGAGAUUGGAAGCAUUCCGACCACAAGUCGUGGUAUGAGAAAGAGGUCUAAAGGGAGGAAUGUCUUGGCCUUUGAGAUUAUUCACAGAACAGUUUCCUAGAUAUCAAGAAGAGUACUAAAGUAUUCAAAAGACAUAAGUUAUGGAAAUGAUAAAUGCAUCAGUCAACAUUCGAGGACGAAUGUUUCAAAAGUGGGAAUGAUGUUACACCCCAUAUCUUCGUACGUAAAAGUACGCCAUAAGUAAAUUGAUGAAAGUUUGGAAAUAAGAUAUUACAUCUCGCAUUUUUCGUACGUUAAAGUUUCAUCGUAAGUUAAUCGAUAUAACUUCGAGAGUGAGAUUAUUUUAAGAUUAUAAGCAUUAUGCUAUUUAAAACAAGUGAUGAAUAAAUUCGUGAAAGUGAGAGGGUAAGCAAAUCGAAAAAAAUAAUUUUCGUCGAAGUUUGACAUUUUGGGAUAAAAUACGGCCCGAGCUAAAAUACCCGAUAUUUAUGGACUAAUACCAUACAAGGUACCGCAUGGCCAUGAUAGUAAGGUGUACAAAGUGUGUUAAAAGUGAGUAAUAUUUUACGUAAUUUGAGAUAAUUCUUAAUUAUGUGGGGUAUUGGUUAAUGGAAUAUUUACAAGUUAUUAAGCAAUUGGUGGAUAAUUUAUUAAGAUCCUUUGGAUAAAUCUUUGAACCCAACGUGGCAGCAAGCUAAGACAAAGAAAAUGACUCUUAACUCUCAUUACAAAGUGGCAUUUUAAGAGAGUAUUUGUGGCCAAGUCAUCAUCAAAGUGGGGCCCACAACAUGUAACUUUAAGACUUGAUCUCUUACUUUAUUAAAAGAGUAUGCUAAGACUUGCUAAGAGAGCUUCUUACGAAUGGAGUUCAAGCACAACAUUCUACGAGAUUUCUUACCUUAUUAAGGUAUAAUAUCUCUAAUUCAUUUAAAAGAUAUUGAUGCAAAUUUUCCAUGGUAACGUGAUUAGCACAACAAAAGUCUUUCUUAUCUUCUUAAGAUUAGAAGAUGCAAGAUUCGCGUUUCAGAAAGAUUGCCUAGGUGAUUUGCUACAAUCAAAUCCCAUACAAGACUAUUUAAUACUUAACAACGUGAGAUUUUAUAAUUUUAAGGGAGUACGGUGCAAUCCUUCUCAAGAAUAUCAUACUGAUUUUUCCUACUCCAGGUAUGUUAAGGCUAUCCCUUCUUUCUUUUUGGCAUUAUCCAAAUAAUACAAAUGGAACGAGCAAAAUAUGCAACUUUCAUAAAUGACUCUAUUCGUAGAAAUACUAGGGGUGUCUAUAUUCUUGAUUCCCCAUGUGAAUUAUUAUUAUAUNNNNNNNNNNNNNNNNNNNNNNNNNNNNNNNNNNNNNNNNNNNNNNNNNNNNNNNNNNNNNNNNNNNNNNNNNNNNNNNNNNNNNNNNNNNNNNNNNNNNNNNNNNNNNNNNNNNNUGUUAUGAACGCAUAUAUCUAUGCAUGGUAUGAUGUUUAUACGCAUAUGCAUGGCAUUGUAAAUAUCAAUGAUUCACAAAGUUAUUCAGAUUUACAGGUUGAGUCUUUUACUCCAUGUUUCUAUCAUGUCUAUAAUUUACUAAAUUUUAUUCCUUACAUACUCGGUAUAUUAUUUGUACUGAUAUCCCUUUUGCCUGGGGACACUGCGUUUCAUACCCGCAGGUCCCGAUAGACAGGUUAUGAGCCCUCCAAGUAAGCUAUCAGCUCAGCGAAAGAUGUUGGUAUGCUCCAUUUGCUUUGGAGUUGUUGUUUGGUCAGUAUGAUUAGGAUAUGUGUUGAUUGGUAUGGCGGGACUCUGUCCCGACCUUUAUGAUAUGAUGCACUCUUAGAGGUUUGUAGACAUAUAUCAUAUAUACAGAUACUUGUAUGGCCUUGUCGGCCUAUGUUUUAAGUAUAUAAUGGAUCACAUUGGUUUUAUAGGCCCGUAUGUCUUAUGUAUAAGUUGGUAUUUCAUGUUGUAUUCUACUUAUCUCACGGCAGCCUCUCCGGUUUAGUUAUCUAUGAUAGUAUGAU